AUUGAACGCUGGCGGCAGGCCUAACACAUGCAAGUCGAACGAGUGGCGGACGGGUGAGUAAUGUCUGGGAAACUGCCUGAUGGAGGGGGAUAACUACUGGAAACGGUAGCUAAUACCGCAUACCAUCAGAUGUGCCCAGAUGGGAUUGGCUAGUGGGUGGGGUAACGGCUCACCAAGGCGACGAUCCCUAGCUGGUCUGAGAGGAUGACCAAGCACACUAGAACUGAGACAGUGUCCAGACUCCUACGGGAGGCAGCAGUGGGGAAUAUUGCGCAAUGGGCGCACGCCUGAUGCAGCCAUGCCGCGUGUAUGAAGAAGGCCUUCGGGUUGUAAAGUACUUUCGGCGGGGAGGCGUUACCCGCAAAGGAAGCACCGGCUAACUCCGUGCCAGCAGCCGCGGUAAUAC
rnacentral:rRNA from 1 species